rnacentral:rRNA from 1 species
GUGGGGAAUAUUGCGCAAUGGGGGAAACCCUGACGCAGCAACGCCGCGUGAGUGAGGAAGGACUUCGGUCUGUAAAGCUCUGUUAAUGUGGAAAAAUGGUAGUUGGUCUAAUAGGCCGAUUAUUUGAUGGUACACAUAGAGGAAGCACCGGCUAACUUCGUGCCAGCAGCCGCGGUAAUACGAAGGGUGCAAGCGUUGUUCGGAUUUAUUGGGCGUAAAGCGCGCGUAGGCGGACCUGCAAGUCAGAUGUGAAAUCUCGGGGCUCAACCUCGAAACUGCGUCUGAAACUACAGGUCUAGAAUCUCGGAGGGGGAAGGGGAAUAUCGCAUGUAGGGGUAAAAUCCGUAGAUAUGCGAUGGAACACCAGAGGCGAAGGCGCCUUCCUGGACGAGUAUUGACGCUGAGGCGCGAAAGCGUGGGGAUCAAACAGGAUUAGAAACCCGUGUAGUCC